rnacentral:rRNA from 1 species
UGCCGCGUGAGUGAAGAAGGCCUUCAGGGUUGUAAAGCUCUUUCGGCCGGGAAAAAAUCGCAUGGGUUAAUACCCUGUGUGGAUGAUGGUACCGGAAUAAGAAGCACCGGCUAACUACGUGCCAGCAGCCGCGGUAAUACGUAGGGUGCGAGCGUUAAUCGGAAUUACUGGGCGUAAAGCGUGCGCAGGCGGUUUGAUAAGACAGGCGUGAAAUCCCCGGGCUCAACCUGGGAACUGCGUUUGUGACUGUCUCACUAGAGUACGGCAGAGGGGGGUGGAAUUCCACGUGUAGCAGUGAAAUGCGUAGAGAUGUGGAGGAACACCAAUGGCGAAGGCAGCCCCCUGGGUCGAUACUGACGCUCAUGCACGAAAGCGUGGGUAGCAAACAGGAUUAGAUACCCUGGUAGUCCACGCCCUAAACGAUGUCAACUAGGUGUUGGGUGGGUAAAACCAUUUAGUACCG